AAUUCUUUUGUAUCCAUAGGUUGAUGACAAAUGAGGUUAUGGCAAACUUCAAUAUGAAGGGCGGGAAGGGCAAGCUUGCCUUCACGAAGCUCCGGCUCUUCACUGUUGUUACAGAGAGUAUUCAGAGGACGACUGCAGAAACGGAGGCAAGCAUUGCAGCGGCUGUCGCCUUCUGUUUGAAAUAUGCCCCAGACGGGGGGGCGGAGGUGGAAGAAAAAAGAAACUUUCUAAAAUUUAAAUCUUUUUAGUUCAUAAGUGGGGUCUGAGACAGUUCGUUGAGUUUUGUUAAAAAUGUAGUUUCCAUUCAUUUUUCAAACAUUAUACCUGCUAAACACCAGCAUGUUAGCAUUGACAUUUUUUGAGAGUAUUUGAAGUAUUUUUUAGGUUUGGAUUGGCGUUGGGGCUGUGCUUGAUUAUCAACCACAUAACAAUUUUGGUGUUGGCUGUUGGCCUAUCUAAGAUUGUGUAUAUUGAAUUUACAAUUUACAAUAAAAACAAAGCUCUGUAAAAGUUUGUCAUGCCAACAAAA